rnacentral:rRNA from 1 species
ACAAUGGGGGCAACCCUGAUCCAGCCAUGCCGCGUGUGUGAAGAAGGCCUUUUGGUUGUAAAGCACUUUAAGCAGGGAGGAGAGGCUAAUGGUUAAUACCCAUUAGAUUAGACGUUACCUGCAGAAUAAGCACCGGCUAACUCUGUGCCAGCAGCCGCGGUAAUACAGAGGGUGCGAGCGUUAAUCGGAAUUACUGGGCGUAAAGC